rnacentral:rRNA from 1 species
GAUGAACGCUGGCUACAGGCUUAACACAUGCAAGUCGAGGGGAAACGACGGGGAAGCUUGCUUCCCCGGGCGUCGACCGGCGCACGGGUGAGUAACGCGUAUCCAACCUGCCUCUGACUGAGGGAUAACCCGUCGAAAGUCGGCCUAAUACCUCAUGGCAUCGUCUGCGGGCAUCCAACGACGAUUAAAGAUUUCAUCGGUCAGGGAUGGGGAUGCGUCUGAUUAGCUUGUUGGCGGGGUAACGGCCCACCAAGGCUACGAUCAGUAGGGGUUCUGAGAGGAAGGUCCCCCACAUUGGAACUGAGACACGGUCCAAACUCCUACGGGAGGCAGCAGUGAGGAAUAUGGGUCAAGGGGCGGGAGCCUGAACCAGCCAAGUAGCGUGCAGGAUGACGGCCCUAUGGGUUGUAAACUGCUUUUAUGCGGGGAUAAAGUGAGGGACGUGUCCUUCAUUGCAGGUACCGCAUGAAUAAGGACCGGCUAAUUCCGUG